ensembl:snoRNA SNORA70 Small nucleolar RNA SNORA70
CUGCAGCCAAUUAAGCCGACUGUCCUCAUUCCUGUGGGGGCCAGUGUGCAAUGGCUGCGAACAGCAUCCCUCCUCGGUAGUGUACACAGCCUAUUGGCAUGUACAGGCUGCCCUAAGGGACUUUGGGGACAACC